AACGAACGCUGGCGGCAUGCCUAACACAUGCAAGUCGAACGAGACCUUCGGGUCUAGUGGCGCACGGGUGCGUAACGCGUGGGAACCUUCCCUUAGGUUCGGAAUAACUCCCCGAAAGGGGUGCUAAUACCGGUUAAUGUCUUCGGACCAAAGAUUUAUCGCCUUUGGAUGGGCCCGCGUUGGAUUAGCUAGUUGGUAGGGUAAAAGCCUACCAAGGCGACGAUCCAUAGCUGGUCUGAGAGGAUGAUCAGCCACACUGGGACUGAGACACGGCCCAGACUCCUACGGGAGGCAGCAGUGGGGGAUAUUGGACAAUGGGCGAAAGCCUGAUGCAGCAAUGCCGCGUGAGUGAUGAAGGCCUUAGGGUUGUAAAGCUCUUUUACCCGGGAUGAUAAUGACAGUACCGGGAGAAUAAGCUCCGGCUAACUCCGUG
rnacentral:rRNA from 1 species